rnacentral:ncRNA from 1 species
AAAGAUAGAGGCGCGGCCGCGCAUCAGUAGCCCGGGGCAAAAGGACGGAACGCACCGUCUGCCGCGGAGGAAAGGGCAGGCUGCCGAAGGGACCGGCGCGCACGGUUUCCUGGGCGUAUGUCAUAACAGGCAUGCGACUGUCGCAAUUUGCGGAGUGCUAUUAU